GGAAGGGCCAUAGCUCAGUGGUAGAGAGUCUGCCUUGCAAGCAGAAGGUCCCAGGUUCAAUCCUGGGCACCUCCA